GGGGCUGCAGCUCAGUGGUGGAUCAUCUGCUUUGCAUGCAGAAGGCCCCUGGUUCAAUCCCAAACAUCUCCA